CCUUGCUAACUCUCUAUCUCUAGUUCGAUUUUUUCUCUCAUGCACGACGUUGAAAUCCUACUAUCAUUCUCCGUUGGCGCUCACAUGUCUUCAUCCACUGCACCUUCUUAUCUCUUCAUCUUCUUCAUCGUAUGGGUUUUAAUUGCAAUUUGAAUCUCACAAACUCACUGGAAACGCUGAACUAUUUUUUCUUCUUCAAGUUAAUAGGUACUUUGUUGAUCGAGUUUCUCAUCCUUCAAAAAUGUUGAAUGAGCUUUGUAAGCACGGAUUGGUUCAAGUCAUAUAUCAUUUAAGUGUAAAUGGUUGAGCGACUCUAUCCCAAUUAAUUUAUAAUGUAAGCAACUUUUAAUGUGUGUGAAUUUAACUUUAUGAAAUUAUAAUUCUAUUAUUUUGCUAUACAGGGAGUGAUAGGAUUACUUGUCAAACUAUCAGUAGAAUCAACAUAUCUUUAAGAUGUGUAUUAACUAAUAUAAGCAGCUUGUUGAUAUAUCAAUAUGGUGUAUCUACAUCACAACUUGUUGUUGGACACUGUAACUGU